UACAGAGGUCCCAAGCGUUGUUCGGAUUCAUUGGGCGUAAAGCGCGCGUAGGCGGUUACACAAGUUGGAUGUGAAAGCCCUCGGCUUAACUGAGGAAGUGCAUCCAAAACUGUGCAGCUAGAGUACUAAAGAGGGUCGCGGAAUUCCCGGUGUAGAGGUGAAAUUCGUAGAUAUCGGGAGGAACACCGGUGGCGAAGGCGGCGACCUGGGUAGAUACUGACGCUGAGGCGCGAAAGCGUGGGGAGCAAACAGG
rnacentral:rRNA from 1 species